GCCAGCAGCCAUAUCACUCUGCAACUCACCACUGGCAGCCCACUGAAGCUCAGCAGGUGUGAGCCUGGUCAGUACCUGGAUGGGAGACUCCUGGGAAAGCUAAGGUUGCUGCUGGAA
rnacentral:rRNA from 1 species